UGCCUAUAUCAGGGCUGUGCUGUAGCUGUCUCUUGCAUAUGCCUCCAGAGGCCUGGCAUGGCAUAGCACACUGGCAGAAGAGCCGCUGGCGGGACCAACCCCAGUCAGAAUACAGACGCCGGGAUCCCGACACUAGUCUGAAUGCCGACACCAGCAUUUAGAAUGGGGGCAACAUCCCGGUGCUGGAGUCCCGACUACCAGGAUCCCGAACGAGAAGGCACCGCAACGUUGCAGAGUUCUUCUAAAAAAUCGCUUCUCUGCGACCUAUUCUCCGUCACUUGCAUACACAAAUCUUGUGCUGCAUCUCUCUACCCUUGGCUGUGACUCCCUCCCAUUGGAUGCGACUGUCGUACAUACCUGAGAUGAGUCUGAACAGCGACAGGAGGCGUGCCUUCACCGACAGUGCUGAAAUGAUGAAAAUCCCAGCACAUAAUGGAAAUAUAUAGAAGUUAAUGGCCGGACUGUGGCGCUAAUAAGUACCCAAGUGGAUUGGAGCUUCUGACUUGCUACGCUAAUUUUCAGUGGAGAAAGGAUUUCGGGAAUGGAGAGACAGCUGCAUCGAUGUCGGUAAACACCUGGCAUCACCUCUCAGCCUGUCAUUAGGAUUUAACGGCCAGCAAUCAUUUACUAUAUUGACAAAACAUGAUCAUAGUCAUGAAAUACACACACAAAUGAGGUAAAUACCACUUCAGCUCCACCAAAGGGGAAGAGGAGGAGAAGGAGGAGGAGGAAAAGGAGGAAAUAAUCAUGCAACAAUAGU